GGAAAAAGGGACAGACCCUGUGCUGCUCUAAAGUUCAUGAGAGCUCUGGAGUGUAGGCUCUGAUGGCCAAGUUCCUUGCCUUGGAGCCCACUUUGGUUGCACAAUUUGGUGCAUCUCUGAAAUGGGUCCCCCUGCUAAACCAGCCCAUGGAGGCAUUUGCCCUUCCACCUGCCUUCCCAGGCUGGUCUAAUGGCUUCUGGAAUGCAGGUAGACCUGUCCUACCUGUGUCUCAGUUUAGGUGUUCAUUUUGGCCACCUAAACCAGGCUACACUGUCUCCAAUGCAGAUGCAAUGUGCUAGCGGGUGUGUGUGUGUGUGUGUCUGGAUCAUUUUUGGCCAUCUAAAUCAGGCCACACUGUGUCCAGUGCACAUGCAAUAUGCUAGCAGGGGACAGUGGGCAGGGCCUCUCUAGACCACAUCAGAAUGCAGAAGAGAGAAUCCCAGAAGAGGGUUAUGCCCUAUGCUAUACCAGACUAUUGAUAAGUGCAAAAAUGGCCAUAAUGUAGGAACAUGGAUUAAGGCCCUGUUUUAUGACAAUGAAUUCCAUUUCAUUCAUAGAAGGAAAGUUACAGUCCAAAAUAGUAUUAGUUUACUAAUUAUUUUAACUGGGGAGGGGAUCCUGUAAUAGUGGAUCCUGUAAUUCUUGCAUAAUUACCGGUUUCUUUUUGAAAAGUAUUUAUGAGAGAGUGACUUAAUUAUACUAAAGCAUAAAUUGUUCUCUAGGCAUAGCUGGACCUUAGAUGCCUAAAUCAUGUGCUCUGACUCCACCUGGAUAAUCCAGAUAAGCAGGGGAAGAUCUUUGCUUCCAACUUUCCCCUCCUUAUGUGGACUGGAGCUUAGAAGUCUCUGUUUACACAAGAGGAGGCAGGCAAUCAUAAAAAGGCAGCACAUUUAUGGAACCCACACACUGAAAGGUAAAGGCCUCUGCAUAGAAGACCUGCCUGGCCCAAGGAUGCCGAUGGCUGGGAGCUGCUCAUUGGAUUCAAUUGGGAACUAUUUGCUGGCCCUGCCUUAGGGCCUGUUUGCCCUCACCUUUUAGUGAGCAUGGUACUAGCCGUGGUACUAGCUUUUCUGGGAGCAGCUGGAUGAUUCUCAGUCAGCAGCAUUCACACCGUCUUCCAGGUGCAAAUGCUGCAAGUGGGUGGUACAGUGUGGCUGUGCAGUUGCAUGGCAUGUCCUGCUUGCCAUGGCAAUGGCCAGACAUUGCCGCAGCUGCUGUCAUGGCAAUCAGGCGUACAUUUGCACUGUGAGUACUGGUGUCCCGGUUUGGGGCUAUUCUAUCACUCACAGUGUGAAUGGCUGCUGCACUGCUGGCUGCUGUAUAUUCUAGAAUGUUAAUGUUAUACCAUUCUAGGCUGUAAAGUGUGAACUGGCCCUCUGUCUCUUCCUCUGUCUCCACCCUCAGCUUCUCUGUUCACCCUCUUGCAUGUAAAGGCCUCUGCAUAAAAGAAUCUGGCUGAAAACUGCCAAACACUGUACAAAGACUGUGCUGGCUGUGCAAGUAUUUGCAGAAUUUUUCUUAUUUGUUUGGAUUUUAUAUUUAAAGGUAUUUUAUAUAACAUUAUUUAUUGAUAUGUGAUUCCUACAUCUUGCUUUGUAUUCUGUUCAAUAAUUUCUCCAUAUUUUGCCUUGAACAUAUCAUGAAAUAGAAAUAAACUGAUGAUGAUAAUGAUGAUGAUGAUGUUG
ensembl:lncRNA